rnacentral:tRNA from 1 species
CGGGAUGUGGCGCAGUCAGGUAGCGCACUAGUCUGGGGGACUAGGAGUCGCUGGUUCGAAUCCAGUCAUCCCGACCA